UACAAAGUGAGGUCUGGUGCAGGACUGUUGUUUGUGUAUCUAUUGUUAUUCUGCACAUUUUUAAGCUUUUAUUGUUUCCUCGGGGUAUUUUACGUGUCCCAGCCUGGAGAUAGAAGAUGUUUUUAUUCAGGCAGACAGAUGAGGCCUUGAGUUCAGCGAUGGAGAUGUUCCUGUUAUCCCCACACAGAGACUGCAUGUGUGGACAAAGUUAGACAGCUGAAUUACAGCCAGCAUUACUUCUCAAACUGUAAGUAAUGAUUGUGCCCUACUUUAAGCGAACAUGCUAUUUUUGAAUGAUUAUGCAGUUUAUGCUUGGAGUGGCUUUAAUAACUGAUAUUCUUACACUGAUAUUUUCCUUUUUUAGUUUUGCCUUAUAAAGACUUUGACGUUUUCCUGAGGUUCUGGCUGUAAAUAUCUCCAUCAUUUGUAGGUUGAGCUGAUGGUUGAAUGUGAUGCUAACUGUGUUCUGGUCCCACAGGUUUGAGGAUCAACAAGCAGCCAUAGAAAUAAUGUCCAGGAGAUGCAGAGGCCUGCAGAAGCCGCUCACUUUGACAUCUCAGUUAAGCUGAGAACAGAAAUCAGGAGCUGCAGAGAGAACAGGCUCAGCAGAGCCGGACAGCUGAAGCUUUCUGUUUCUGCUCAGAGCGCAGAGGACGGACACAGGAUUAACUGACCCAACCACAGCCAUGCAGAUUCUCACUGCUGAACUUUAGUGAACAUCGUGGUGGUGGCAGCAUCAUGCUGUGGGAGGAUGGAUGGAGCUAAAUCCAGGACAAUAAUGGAGGGACAACCAGCCUGAACAUCCAGCCAGAGAUAUUAUGGGAUGGCUUAGAUCCAAUCAGAUUCAUGUGUUAGAGUGGCCUAGUCAAAGUCCAGACCGUAAUCCAGGUGAGAAUCUGAAGCAGGACUAGAAUGUUGCUCUGCACCCAUUUUCUGAUAAAUAAAUCCGCAGAGACUUUGUAAACUGGAUUCCUUACGUUGAGUCGACACGUCGCUUUCUUACAAAAACAAAUUUAAAAUAUUCCUGAUCUGGUAAAAGACAGAAUCAUUUUGUGCCUUUUGAAGGAAAGAGAUUAAUUUGAUAUAAUUUGGAAUAAUGUUGUAGCAUAAGAAAAGGUACAAAAAAAAGUGAAACGUGUCAUUUCUUUCAGAUGCUCUGCACUUUACCGCAAGUAAAUUAUUUCAGAUUUGAACAUAUAAAUAAAUUUCCAGUGUGUUUCAGUAACACGAGGUCAGUGUUUGGUUCUGACCCGGGUCAGCAGAACAAACAGAACUCCACAGGAAGAAGGAGGCUUUUUUUUUUUUUUUUUUUAGUUUCCAGGGUGACAAGAACCUCAGCUCAAAAUAAAUCACACUGAAUUUCCAACUGUGGAUAAUAAAAUAUAUUUUCUGCUGAUAUUUGAACUGAUUGUGCUGAAAACAAGCCGACCCCACCUGUGCUGCAGAGAUAAGAGAAUUAUAAUCCACGCAGGUAUCAGUCUGCGUGGAUUAUUUAUUAUCUCCUCUGUGAAAGGAAACAACUUUGGAGAAGAAUAAUACAAUUUCAUCUGGCUGUUGCAUCUCUUUCCUGUGUAGAUCCUAGCAGGACUUCAAGAGCUUCUUAUUUAGUCUGGGAGAUGAAGUUAUUUUCUCUGGCUAUUGUGUGAAGGGCCACCUGAGUUCAGAAAGAGCGGAACGGCUCAGUCACAACUCUUCACAAGGAAAGAUCAAAGCUACACCUCUGGGCUUUGUAAUAUAUUGAGUUAAGUUCCAGCGCCGGUGAUGCAUCUCUCUUCCUUUGCUCUUUCUGCUUUUGGCAAAAGAGCAAAUUAAACCUGACUUGUGUCAUCAUACGCAGUCCGUCUUCAUUUGCGCAUGCAUCAGCGCUUGUUGGUGUGGGAAACAGCGGCACGCAGCGAGCCGACCCCUGAACCGGCCCCUGAACGGCCCCUGAACCAGCCCCUGAACCGGCCCCUGAACCGGCCCGUAGUUUAAAGCAACCAGGAAACAUCACAUGAUUUAUAGAACCGGUAAGAGGAAAAAAACAUCUUACCAAGUAUUUCUGUCUGGUUUCUAGUGCAGACGUCCAUUUGAAAUGAGACAAAACUAACUUCCAAUAAACUUUUCAGUAAGAAAAAUUCUUUAAUAUUGAUUUCAAAAAAGGUUCUA